CUGGAAUGUAAACAAACUACCAUCACCAAACAUCCACAAUCACCCAUCAUCACAGGACAGCAAAAAGCUGCCCGGUACCACGGCGCAAGCUUUCAGCACAUCUCAAUUUGGACUUGCCACAUUUCAAGCGCUCAGUAGCCACAUGGGGCGGGCGGCCAGAGCACUGGAAAGUACAGAUUCGACGCAUCUACAUGCCUGCAAAAGGUUCGUUUUUUCAUUCAUGGCUAAUGCGCCUUCCCUGUCUAUGAAGACUGCAAAUGAACCUGGGUGGGAGCCAUUUACUUCACUGCUCUUCCGGUGGCGGUUAGGGCCUGGCGGGCCGUGAGGAGUGAUCCAAUUCCCGGGCAAGCCAGUUACCAAGGAUUGCUCUGUGAGGCUUCCGAGGAGGCUGUUCUGGCCAAACCGCAAGUCUGAGUGGGGAGCGGACUCAUCAUCCCGAGGGCAGAGUUGUUCCUCUGAACACUCUGGGUAAAGCCAGGGCUCUCCUUGUGUGAAGGGAACAGUUUCUUGGGCUCCCUCCUUUCCUUUACCUCCCUUUCUCUCUGCUCCAUGCAUGUGUUUUCAAAAUAUGCAGCACCCGAAUCCUUCCCUUCUGCUACUCCUUCAGAGCUGCUCCUGAGCCUUCAAUUAAAGCAGAGCAUUAGCU